rnacentral:rRNA from 1 species
GACAGAGGGUGCAAACGUUGUUCGGAAUUACUGGGCGUAAAGCGCGUGUAGGCGGCCAGGUAAGUCCGUUCUGAAAGCCCGGGGCUCAACCCCGGGAGGCGGAUGGAUACUGCUUGGCUCGAGUCCGGAAGAGGCGAGUGGAAUUCCCGGUGUAGCGGUGAAAUGCGCAGAUAUCGGGAGGAACACCAAUGGCGAAGGCAGCUCGCUGGGACGGUACUGACGCUGAGACGCGAAAGCGUGGGGAGCAAACAGG